GACGCAGGCUGUGAUCUUCCACACUCAUUGUACAACUCGGACGCCUUUCUGUAAUGAUCGGAAACUUCAUUCCAGCGGCCAAGUUCCUUCGCUAAAGCACCAGCAGACUCCAUAUGUUUGGCAGCAUCCCAUGGCGAUGAAAUCAUUUCUUGUCCUUUUGAAGCCUUCUCAAAUGCUUCUUUCGCUUUCUCAUCGUCUUUCCUCAUUCUGUAACCAAUAGCAGCUUGUUCAUAUAAAACUGUAGCAGUCUUCCAAUCAGCAUUCCACCUAGUGAAACUUAGCUUUGUCAAUUUGUCAGCUUUUGCCAUGUAUGAGUCCGGAUCGGUUUUCGCCAUGGCUGCGAUGAGCUCCCGAUCUCUUCUU
rnacentral:misc_RNA from 1 species